UACGUAGGGUGCAAGCGUUAAUCGGAAUUACUGGCGUAAGCGUGCGCAGGCGGUGAUGUAAGACAGUUGUGAAAUCCCCGGGCUCAACCUGGGAACUGCAUCUGUGACUGCAUCGCUGGAGUGCGGCAGAGGGGGAUGGAAUUCCGCGUGUAGCAGUGAAAUGCGUAGAUAUGCGGAGGAACACCGAUGGCGAAGGCAAUCCCCUGGGCCUGCACUGACGCUCAUGCACGAAAGCGUGGGGAGCAAACAGG
rnacentral:rRNA from 1 species